rnacentral:rRNA from 1 species
UACGGGGGGGGCAAGCGUUGUUCGGAAUUACUGGGCGUAAAGGGCUCGUAGGCGGCCAACUAAGUCGGAUGUGAAAUCCCCCAGGCUUAACCUGGGAACUGCAUCCGAUACUGGAUGGCUUGGAUUUGGGAGAGGGAUGCGGAAUUCCAGGUGUAGCGGUGAAAUGCGUAGAUAUCUGGAGGAACACCGGUGGCGAAGGCGGCAUCCUGGACCAAUAUUGACGCUGAGGAGCGAAAGCUAGGGGAGCAAACGGG